rnacentral:rRNA from 1 species
GAUAAACGCUGGCGGCGCACAUAAGACAUGCAAGUCGAACGAACUUAAUUCGAAUGUUUACAUUUGGAAGCGGUUAGUGGCGGACUGGUGAGUAACACGUAAGCAACCUGCCUAUCAGAGGGGAAUAACAGUGAGAAAUCAUUGCUAAUACCGCAUAUGCUGUGAGUAACGCAUGUUACAAACAGGAAAGGAGCAAUCCGCUGAUAGAUGGGCUUGCGUCUGAUUAGAUAGUUGGUGGGGUAAUGGCCUACCAAGUCGACGAUCAGUAGCCGGACUGAGAGGUUGAACGGCCACAUUGGGACUGAGAUACGGCCCAG